UACGUAGGGGUCUAGCGUUGUCCGGAAUUAUUGGGCGUAAAGAGCUCGUAGGUGGUUCGGUAAGUCGGAUGUGAAAUCUCCAGGCUCAACCUGGAGGGGUCAUUCGAUACUGCCGUGACUAGAGUUCGGUAGGGGAGUGUGGAAUUCCUGGUGGAGCGGUGAAAUGCGCAGAUAUCAGGAGGAACACCCGUAGCGAAGGCGGCACUCUGGGCCGAUACUGACACUGAGGAGCGAAAGCGUGGGGAGCGAACAGG
rnacentral:rRNA from 1 species